GUUCGGGUUGUCAUGCCAAUGGCACUGCCCGGUAGCUAAAUGCGGAAGAGAUAAGUGCUGAAAGCAUCUAAGCACGAAACUUGCCCCGAGAUGAGUUCUCCCUGAGACUUAGAGUCUCCUGAAGGAACGUUGAAGACGACGACGUUGAUAGGCCGGGUGUGUAAGCGCAGCGAUGCGUUGAGCUAACCGGUACUAAUGAACCGUGAGGCUUAACCUUACAACGCCGAAG
rnacentral:rRNA from 3 species